rnacentral:snoRNA from 1 species
GCUGGGCCAGAGCAAACUGUACCCCGAACCAUUGCCUGUCUUUACCCUGUGGGCACUGAAGCGGGUUGCACAGUG